GAAAUGCGAUAAGUAAUGUGAAUUGCAGAAUUCAGUGAAUCAUCGAAUCUUUGAACGCACAUUGCGCCCGCCAGCAUCCUGGCGGGCAUGCCUGUUCGAGCGUCAUUUCAACCCAUCAAGCCCACGGCUUGUGUUGGGGACCUGCGGCUGCCCGCAGGCCCUGAAAACCAGUGGCGGGCUCGCUAGUCACACCGGGCGUAGUAGCAUACGACCUCGCUCAGGGCGUGCUGCGGGUUCCAGCCGUAAAACGACCUUCACAACCCAAGGUUGACCUCGGAUCAGGUAGGAGGACCCGCUGAACUUAA
rnacentral:misc_RNA from 1 species